rnacentral:rRNA from 1 species
CCUUAUCACCACCCUGAGCAAGACUGGUGGUCUUGUCUGAUCUCACUCCUUAAGCAGGGUUGGGCCUAGGUAGUACUUGGAUAGGAGUAAGCAUUCUUAAAGGAUGUAAUAGAGAUAUUUAUGCCUAAAGA